rnacentral:ncRNA from 2 species
GUCAACAACCCAACGACUAAAGUCGUGGGCUUGUAAAAGCCCCUGUUGACUAGCCUAAGUCUUUCGAGGACUACGUUGGAUUGGUCACGACACCUUACGGUGCGGAUUCUAGCUGUAAGCCCUGUCGCUUGUGAUUAAAAGCCCGAACGGGUUGUGGGCGGUGUUGCAAGCGUAAAAGCCUUUCCAACAUUGGCGAAGAAUACCUGACUCCUGAAAGGA